rnacentral:rRNA from 1 species
CUAAAUGACUCUCGGCAACGGAUAUCUCGGCUCUCGCAUCGAUGAAGAACGUAGCGAAAUGCGAUACUUGGUGUGAAUUGCAGAAUCCCGUGAACCAUCGAGUCUUUGAACGCAAGUUGCGCCCGAAGCCUCUCGGCUGAGGGCACGUCUGCCUGGGCGUC